UUGGUGACGUGAGGAUAUAGUGUAUCGUUGUGUGGGUGAUUACUAUGGAUUACCGCCGCCCUAGUACACCUGCAUCGUUUUCAGGGCGCCGGCGAGCGUUGGCGAACCACGUGGACACCUGCGGGAGGAGGACGGAGACAGGGGCGUGUACGGAGCUUGAUAUCACCGCACCAUCCUCCAGUCUGCCACAAAAAUGACCAGCCAUGACAUACAAUCCAGCUUGGCCAGUUCACUUCAAUGCAUCUAUCCAGCCAUUCAACCAGCCACCCAGCCAUUCAACCACCCAUCCAGCCAUUCAACCAGCCACCCAGCCAUUCAACCAGCCAUCCAGUCAUCCACCUAACCCUUCUGUUGCGUCGCUGCGCCAUGCCAUCCUACAGUGUUUGUCGCAGUGCUCUUAACAUCACCUUUCAGCCAUAUCACUCACUAGGUGUAAGAGCGAGUGAAAGGGUUAGGCGAUGUGUUUACCUGUUUACACACACACACACACACACACACACACACACACAGACAGAGGCACAUUUGGAAUAUUAUGGGUGCUGGAUCUAUUGCCGUCGUCCGCUGUUGUUGUUGUUGUUGCUGUUGAUGUUACUACUGUUAUUGUUGUUGUUGUCGUUGUCGUUGCUGUUGAUGUCGUUGCUGCGUCUGUUUCCUUUGUCUGACUCGCCUCAAUCGAAAUUUGGUUGUCAUUUGUUAUUGUUUUUAUUGGUGUGUUUAUUUUUUUUUAUCGUAUUUUGUUGCCUUUGUGUUCAUUGUUUUAUUUUUUUACUUGCUGUGUUAUUUACUUAUUUACUUUGUUUCCUCAUGCGUCACAUUUUUUUUUCUUUCGUGCUUCCUUUCUUUUAGUGUGUGUGUGUGUGUGUGUGUGUGUGUGUGUGUGUGUCGGUGAGGGCGUGCUUCCUUUACUUACAUACAUCGUUAUCACUUACAACAACAUUCGUCAUUACCAUUUUAAUAAGACACGAGUGCAACGGUAACGACCCUCUACCCAAUACUAAACGACCAUAAUCCAGUAGUUUUUUUCCACUUCUUUGGUCCACUUAUUUGUUCGUUAGUUUUUUUGUGGGUAAUUGGCAGAGUGAUCUCAAACCACAAACGUCAAACAAGCACGUAACCUUUCUCCGCCGCAGCCUUCGUAACAUAGCACACAAUCUAAAAAUAUUCUUAGACUGUGACAUACCAGAGCGUCGUGCCCUUAACGGUAGCAGCGACGGGCCAA